ensembl:lncRNA
AAGCCAGGUUGAGGGGGGAUACUGUCACAAUCUAUGUUAGCAGUUGGCUGGGUGGUUGUGUUUCUUUUUCUGUUUACAGAGGUGCGCUGGAGGCUGGGCGGAGUCGGCGGUCUCAGGAGGGAGUACACACACACGCGCGCACCUGCAGCAGGUUAAUCAUCAGCGCUGGCUUCAAGACCAGGAUCCACACACUGCCUGCUGCCAUUUGAUUACAUGAUUUCCACGCGUGCCCUCCUGCCCCGCAACCGACUCGCUCUGGUGUCCAGAUCUCCUGCACCUCUGCUUCUCAUCGCCAGCCCAGCUCCCCGCUUAAGGGGCACAGCCAACGCGGCACCACCACUCACCUACAGCUGCCACCAAACCUACACUCCUCCGAGCCGACAGAGACGCGCCGGACCUCUGCGCGCCUACAGCCUGCCUCCAGCGCUAUGCUCCUCUGAGCACUCUCCCCCUGGGACUCAAGCCACCUCGCCCUCUGCUACCCAGCUGUGGUUGUUGAUAAAAGCACCUUUGCAUCUGCCCCGGUUGUCUGUCCGUUUCUGGGUCACCCUUGUGUCUCUGGUCUAACAAGCUCCUCUCCCUGAUGACGUCCAUCAGUUUUGGGGUGUAAUGGUCAAGUUGGGCCAUAAAUGUAGAUUUGAGACUUACGGUGGUUAUUCUCUUGAAUUCUUCAUUUAUCUGUAGACCACAAAAACAGGAGCAUUGAAUCUUGCAGACAAGAUUAUGCAGCUAUACUGCAUUAAUUCAUAUGACAACACAUUAGUUAAAGAGGAACAACUCCUACAUUUUUGUGAACUCUGACAUACAGUGGUAAAAAAAGGGGGGGGGGGGGCACUGAAAUGACCCACUAUUGUUGAUUGGUAUUUCAUUCAAAUUGAAAUCACUCUCCAUAGAGGUCGCUUGGAACCAAAGACCAGUCAAAAGGUUGGCCAGUUGUAGGAACACAAGCCUUUGUCUCUGCAUCUUAAAGUGGUCUCAUUUCAGCCAUGAUUACCUUUAACCCAAAUCGACUCCUUUUUCCAGCAUACGGGACUGAAAACCCCCUCCUGAACUGGCAGAUCUUUUUCCACCACAGAGUGGCAAGAUGUUGUUUUUCUUGCAAUAAACAGAUCACAGAGACCUUCUUUUAGUAAUUUACAACGACUAAGCACAUCUGGUCUGUUCCCCUUCCUCCAAAGAAGAUGAACCCCUUUUCCUCAGGGCAAACAAGGUCAAGCCCAAUAGAGUCUUCUUUCUCCACACCAAAAGGAAGGAGGACUGUCUUCUAACAUAGAUGUGGUGAUUUAAGAUGUUUUACUAAUCUACGUUUCUCUCCCUCUGGAACAUUCUCCGGUGGGGGAAGGCUUAAUGGGAAACCUAAUCUGUGUGUUCUUCUCCUCACAUGUCCAACUGUUAUUUACGACCAUUGUUGUUCCUGGGUUUGACAUACCAAUCCCCCUUGCAGUCUAUCCUCACCCAAAUUCAAAUACGUCCUAAAUAACUAAUAAACUACAAUUCCAACUUCUUAAUUUUAGCAGAUUCCAAAAUAGCGUAAGAAGGUCAUACAAUAGAUCUUUCCCAUGUUAUUGUCAAGCCCAAAUGAAGUUUAUUACUCAAUAAGUUUGAGGUCAACAGAAACCACUCCUCCCCUUUGUCGAUGGAGGAGAGACUACUGUGUAUUGUAUACUUUACUGUUAUAUGUUGUAUACCUUAUUGCUUCAAAUCUUAAUCAGGUUAUAAUUCUUUCGAAUGACAAAUUAUCCUUAUCAUGUUGCAUCUCUUCACAAAGGCAAAAAUUCGACUUUUAAGAAGGUUUUGGGAAGGUUAAAACAUGAUUUCAAAACAUUAAAUCCAAUAAUAUAGUUAGAUUAACUUUUUGGGAGCGUCAACUAAGAUCACAGGAGGUGUGACACUGUCAGCCAGCCCCUUCUUCAGUCUGCCUGCUGCAGGUCAUAAAGCAGACCCUUCUGCUCUGCUCGCCCUCUCUCACUUCUUCUCUGGGUUCUCUCCCUGCUCUCUUCUCCCCCUGCUUCUUCUCCUUCUUCUCUCUUCUCUUCACUUCUUUGUUUUUCAUUUUUAUUUUUAUUUUUAAAGUAAUCUUUAUUUUUAUUUUUGCAACACGCUCUAAGACAAGCGAAUUGAAUCCCUACUUUAAGUAUUUUACUUUUAUUCAAGUUCUUAAUAGAACAAAUUCUUUUUUUUUUAUUUUAUACUGUUAAAGUAUCACCGCCUGAUUCAGAAGAAGUUGAAUUAGCUUCAGAAUCAGAACUUAAGUACCACUACUUGAAACCACCAAGAAAAGUCUUUUUCAAGACUGUGAUCAUCUGAUGAAGAACGUUGCAAGCCUUGCAAGGAGUCUCCAACAAAAAGAGACUUUGUGUGCUCCCAGCCAAGACCGACUCUGCCCCCAGCGCUCCCAAGGCGGAAACCCCACUGGGCCUUCGGACCAAGAGUUCCUCAACAGAGUACCGGCCUUCCCUCUGGCUACUGGACCGACGCGCCAUGCCGUAGUCCAACCCAGAACUCUCAAGAACACCAAACUUCAGUGCCUCCUGACUCCCAGAAAAAAACAGCUGAACGCCUUCAUGCUGCUGGAUCCACACACGUGAGAAUGAGUGGUGUCUAAAGUUCUGACUUCUGUCCAAAGUUCUGACUUCUGUCCAAAGUUCUGACUUCUGUCUAAGUUCUAACUUCUAUUUUAUGAACUUAAGAAAAUUAAGAUUAGGGUCUCGUAGUAUUAAAAAAUACUCCCGUAAUAUUUUUUUUGCUUAUGUUCAUUUUUUUGGCAUAGACACCUUUAUUAAGCAGUAGACAGAUAGGAAAUAUGGGAGAGAGAGGGGGAUGUGACAUGCAGCAAAGGACCUCCGGCCGGAAUCGAACCGGGGUCGGCUGCGUCUAUGGCAUGCACUCUAACCAUUCCACCACCUGCGCGCCCCUCCCGUAAUAUUUAAUAUAUAUAUAACCCGGCCCUUUAACUUUACCAUCUACCGAAGGUCACACAACGUUAUUACUUUCCUUAUUACAGUCUCUACCUUCUCUGUUAUCUGUUGUUCGUCUAAAAUUGUCAUGUCCUUUAUUUUACCCCAAAUUAUUUAGUCAAUAAACAUAUAUAAUCGUUUGUCU